UCCCCGCCAUAUCUGAUUCGCGAAGCUGAAUCGGACCGUCGAUCUUGUUUCACGAAACUCUCGAAAGUAUCGUGAAAUUUGCUCAGUAGGGUCAUCCACGAUGAGGAAAUGAGAUCAUUUUUUUUACAACACGUGUUUAUCGCAUGCCGUUGACUGUGAAAAUUCUAAAGGAUUCAAGGUUGGCUUGUGGACGAAUAUUCAAAAAGUACCGCCGAAAGUUCAGGGGCUGUGCGCAUGCGCACAAUGGUGGAAGACUGAAUAGAGUUGGUGUUGUCUUCAUGUUUGUCCAUACCGGCGGAGCGGAGAAGGAUGCAAAGUAAAUGGAUUUGGUAUCGGCAUUUAUCGACGAUUUUAAAUUGGAAUCAAAUAUAUUAAUUAAAAAAUCAUUAUUUAACUACAUAAUAAAUCAAUAAAUGAGUGAUCGAUCCAUCAAUUUUCCAACGAAUGAAUGAAUAAAUUGGAUAAUUAAUCGAAUCGGACGUGUGUAAAUUGACCUUAAAUGAUGCCUUUACAUUACUAUGUAAGGACUGUACGCAAAUCAAAAAUCACGUAUUAUUUAUAAAAUAAUUUUAUCUCAUCGAGCAGAAUGUAACAUACCCUGCCUGUUAAGGAAUGUAAAACUCACCAAGAUUGUCAGCAUGAAAUCGAAGAAUAACAUAUCCUUUACUCGGAACAACAAAGGAGUCCUUCUUCAAUGGAUUUAUGCUGUUUCGGUGUAACUGUUCUUUGUUAUCCAGAGAUUUAAUUUCUUCCUUAGAGAUUGGCUUUUCAAAGCUUCCUCUUCCGAUAACAUUCACAUUGUGCCCGUGAAUUUCGAGGAUUUGCAAACACUCGCAGAAUAAUGGCGUGUCGGAACACAAAUCGGAACGACUUUCUAGAGUACAAACUAACUCUUUUGGAGUGUUUUCUUCUUGCGAC